AAUGUCCAUGAACAUUGCUUUUAAUUCCCUGUAUGUAACAUCUUCUCUCCUAGAUGUUACAUUUUGAAUUAGUGCUUCAUAUUCAUCAUCUAGUCCAGCAAGGAUCAGUAAAACAAGAUCUGAAUCCUCCAUCUUUUUUCCAGCCACAGAAAGACCUUCCAAUAAUUGAUUAAUCUCAGAAAUAUAUUCAGUAAAUGACUUACCUCCCUUCUUUAAAUUUUGUAAUUUCUGUUGGAUGUUCAGCACCUGAGAACGGGAGGGAGGAUGAGGCAAAUUCCUCUUGCAACGUUUCCCAACAUUCAGCAGCUGUUUCACAAUGUGAAACUUCUG
rnacentral:lncRNA from 1 species